AAUGAAAGUACUGGCUGGGUAAAAUUAAUUUUGACAAGGAUUUUCGAAAUAAUUUGAAUUAUCGGAACAAUAUUAUUGUGUCAUAACUUAGCAAACGAGAAUUUGGAGUAAGAUUUACGUAUUUUCGUCUAAAUAAUGAAAAUGGGUGGUUUACGAUCAAUAAUUUCAGGCACUUGUCGUGCGAGAACAGUGUUGACUAACGUCCACGCACCAUUGAGAAUUCAAAAAUAUGGAGCACAUAUGGAGGGGCCUCCACAACCGUUUGACAAUUUACCAUUCUCAGUUCCAAACCGAUAUGCAGCGACGAUGUUCUUUUCCGUCUUUUUCGGAGUUGGAUUAUGGGCCCCAUUCAUUAUAGUAUGGUACAUGAUGGCUAAAAGGACUUUGUAAUUUUAAAACAGAAAUAAAAGGGGACUACAUUUACUAGCUUUAUUUUAUGACAUAAUAUUGACUAGGUUCCUCAUACUACUGUUUUUCAAUUUCAAAAUCACAAAAUGUUUAAUUCAAGUAAAACACAUUCAGGCACUUUUAAAUGGAUGUAAAUCUGGAUAAAAUACUAACUUUUAGUUUUAUAUUCAAAAAUUCAUCUACGCUACGUUGCUUAACAUUUUAAACUUAUCACUUUAACAGCAUACCCGGGUUCUGGGUCAAAGUAAUCUUUGAUAGCGGAUUCACGAAACUAUAAAUAUAAUUUUGGUUCGGACCGUGGGUUCAUAAUUACCAUAUCCCUAAUCCUUUCUCUCUUUAGAUUAUUUUCUUGUAAUUUGCUAUGACUUAUUGUUGAGGGCUACAACAAACCUAAACCCUUUUAAUUUUCCAGACUAAAAAAUAAAUUAAAUAAAUACACUUUUGGAAUAGAAGUAGUCCUCAAAUUAAGGCCGUUGAAAUAUUUAAAUGAAUUAAUUUUCUUGUUGAACCUACCUACCAUAGUUUAUUAAGAUGUAGGUAGCAUUGUUAAUAUUAGUUUAAACUCAAAUAGGUAAAAUACCCAUGUUUGUAAAGUUAUAGAAAUUAAACACAUAAAAAAAA